rnacentral:rRNA from 1 species
UGAAUACGAGAUGCUACGGCGUCGAAGCAGUCUAUGUCAUACUUCCAAGAAAAGCUUGCACUGUCAUAAACAAAUAAUGCCUGUACCAUAACCGACACAGGUGGGUAGGUAGAGUAUACUAAGGGGCGCGAGAUAACUCUCUCUAAGGAACUCGGCAAAAUGACUCCGUAACUUCGGGAGAAGGAGUGCCUUAUUUAUAAGGUUGCAAUAACAAGAUCCAAGCAACUGUUUACCAAAAACACAGGUCUCGGCUAAGUCGUAAGACGAUGUAUGGGGGCUGACGCCUGCCCAGUGCCAGAAGGUUAAAGAAGUUGGUUAGCAUCCGCGAAGCUGAUAACUGAAGCCCUGGUGAACGGCGGCCGUAACGAUAACGGUCCUAAGGUAGCGAAAUUCCUUGUCGGGUAAGUUCCGACCCGCACGAAAGGCGUAAUGAUUUGGAUACUGUCUCGGAGAGGGGCUCGGUGAAAUAGACUUGUCUGUGAAGAUGCGGACUACCUGCACCAGGACAGAAAGACCCUAUGAAGCUUUACUGUAACCUGAAAUUGAAAUUGGACUUUACUUGCGCAGUAUAGGUGGGAGGCGUUGAGAAUAUUCUUGCGGGAUUAUUGGAGCCAUCAGUGAGAUACCACUCUUGUAGUGUUAGAUUUCUAACUUUGUAUCAUUAUCUGGUCAAAGAACAGUUUCAGGCGGGCAGUUUGACUGGGGCGGUCGCCUCCUAAACGGUAACGGAGGCGCACAAAGGUUUCCUCUGAACGGGUAGAAAUCGUAUCUAGAGUGUAAAGGCAUAAGGAAGCUUGACUGUGAGACCUACAAGUCGAGCAGGGACGAAAGUCGGUCUUAGUGAUCUGACGGUGCUGAGUGGAAAGGCCGUCACUCAACGGAUAAAAGUUACUCUAGGAUAACAGGCUGAUCUCCCCCAAGAGUUCACAUCGACGGGGAGGUUUGGCACCUCGAUGUCGGCUCAUCGCAUCCUGGGGCGGUAGUACGUCCCAAGGGUUGGGCUGUUCGCCCAUGAAAGCGGUACGCGAGCUGGGUUCAGAACGUCGUGAGACAGUUCGGUCCAUAUCCGGUGUAGGCGUUAGAAUAUUGAGAGGAGCCUUCUUUAGUACGAGAGGACCGAGAAGGACAUACCUCUGGUGUACCAGUUAUCGUGCCAACGGUAAACGCUGGGUAGCUAUGUGUGGAGUGGAUAACCGCUGAAAGCAUCUAAGUGGGAAGCCCACCUCAAGAUAAGUAUUCUCAU